GCCUUUAGCCACACAAGUAUUAAAGGUCCCGCCUGCCCAGUGAUUCAUCUUAUUAAACGGCCGCGGUAUUCUAACCGUGCAAAGGUAGCGUAAUCACUUGUCUUCUAAAUAAAGACCAGUAUGAACGGCUAAAUGAGGACAAACCUGUCUCCUACAACAAAUCAGUGAAACUGAUCUCCCAGUACAAAAGCUGGAAUUAACACAUAAGACGAGAAGACCCUGUGGAGCUUAAAAACAAGCGGCCAAAACCAACUACACACAAACCAACAAAUGGUCGCACGUUUUAAGUUGGGGCGACUUCGGAAAAAAACAAAACUUCCGAGAACAGAACCACAAAUUCUUUCAAAGGACAACAACCCAAAGAACUAACAAUAACAGACCCAGUAAAACUGAGCAACGAACCAAGUUACCCCAGGGAUAACAGCGCCAUCUUCUUCAAGAGUCCAUAUCGACAAGAAGGUUUACGACCUCGAUGUUGGAUCAGGACACCCAAAUGGUGCAGCAGCUAUUAAAGGUUCGUUUGUUCAACGAUUAACAGUCCUACGUGAUCUGAGUUCAGACCGGAGAGAUCC
rnacentral:rRNA from 1 species